GCGAGGGUAGCCAAGCGGCCAACGGCGACGGACUCAAGAUCCGUUCUUGAAGAAGUUCAUGGGUUCGAAUCCCCUCCCUCGCA
rnacentral:tRNA from 2 species